AUUGAACGCUGGCGGCAGGCCUAACACAUGCAAGUCGAGCGAAUGAGGGAAGCUUGCUUCCCGAUUUAGCGGCGGACAGGUGAGUAAUGCCUAGGAAUCUGCCUAUUAGUGGGGGAUAACGUUCCGAAAGGAACGCUAAUACCGCAUACGUCCUACGGGAGAAAGUGGGGGAUCUUCGGACCUCACGCUAAUAGAUGAGCCUAGGUCGGAUUAGCUAGUUGGUGGGGUAACGGCUCACCAAGGCGACGAUCCGUAGCUGGUCUGAGAGGAUGAGCAGCGACACUGGAACUGAGACACGGUCAAGACUCCUACGGGAGGCAGCAGUGGGGAAUAUUGGACAGUGGGCGAAAGCCUGAUCCAGCCAUGCCGCGUGUGUGAAGAAGGUCUGCGGAUUGUAAAGCACUUUAAGUUGGGAGGAAGGGUUGUAAGCUAAUAUCUUGCAGCUUUGACGUUACCAACAGAAUAAGCACCGGCUAACUCUGUGCCAGCCGCCGCAGUAACAC
rnacentral:rRNA from 1 species